CUGGGCUACACACGUGCUACAAUGGACAGAACAAAGGGCUGCGAGACCGCAAGGUUUAGCCAAUCCCAUAAAUCUGUUCUCAGUUCGGAUCGCAGUCUGCAACUCGACUGCGUGAAGCUGGAAUCGCUAGUAAUCGCGGAUCAGCAUGCCGCGGUGAAUACGUUCCCGGGCCUUGUACACACCGCCCGUCACACCACGAGAGUUUGUAACACCCGAAGUCGGUGAGGUAACCUUUAUGGAGCCAGCCGCCGAAGGUGGGACAGAUGAUUGGGGUGAAGUCGUAACAAGGUAGCCGUAUCGGAAGGUGCGGCUGGAUCACCUCCUUUCUAAGGA
rnacentral:rRNA from 1 species